AUUGAACGCUGGCGGAAUGCUUUACACAUGCAAGUCGAACGGUAGAGGGGGCAACCCCUCGAGAGUGGCGAACGGGUGAGUAAUAUAUCGGAACGUGCCCAGUCGUGGGGGAUAACGUAGCGAAAGUUACGCUAAUACCGCAUACGAUCUAAGGAUGAAAGCGGGGGAUCGCAAGACCUCGCGCGAUUGGAGCGGCGGAUAUCAGAUUAGGUAGUUGGUGGGGGAAAGGCUCACCAAGCCAACGAUCUGUAGCUGGUCUGAGAGGACGACCAGCAACACGGGAACUGGGACACGGUGCAGACCCCUACGGAGGCAGCAGUGGGGAAUUUUGGACAAUGGACGCAAGUCUGAUCCAGCCAUUCCGCGUGAAGGAUGAAGGCGCUCGGGUUGUAAACUGCUUUUGUACGGAACGAAAAGGUCUCUCUUAAUACGGGGGGCUCAUGACGGUACCGUAAGAAUAAGCACCGGCUAACUACGUGCCAGCCGCCGCCGUAA
rnacentral:rRNA from 1 species